ACCCUGCUCCCCAGAGGUCCUGUGGUUUCCUCUACAGUUUCUUUCACUUUCUUCUUCUUCUGCUUUUCCCCAUCUCCCCCCCCCCCCCCCCCCCCCCGCUCCCACACCCUCAGCCUCUUCCAUAUGCACAGGUCACCGGUGGAGGCGGUCAAACUAAAGCAAGAGAGAGCGUUUCAUAUGAGAAAGUGAAGGAAACCAGAACAUUACUCCGGUCUGCAAAUGUCAUUUUGGGGACUGAAGCAGAAGCCUCAGGCAUACAUGGCCUGUGCUCUCCCAGCUGGUCAUUUCCCCAACAGCUGAAACUCAACAUUUUAUUCAGUGUGGUUUUAAGCUCAUUGUGUGUUAACCUGGAUAACCCUCACACUAAUCUGAGGUGCGUAUAAAUAAAUACAGCUCAAUUUAUAAACAGAAAAACAGUAUGGCAAAAGCAAUUGAGGUGACUGAAGUACACACCUUACAUGUGGGAGGCCCUGGGUUCAACUCCAGACUCUAUAUAAAAUGAGUGGUGCUUUG